CCGAGCACACGCCGCCCCGGUGGCUCACUUCCGCCACAGGCGCCGUCCCGCUUCCGCCUCCGGGACGCGGCCAAACACGGCUGGUGACGCCGCCAGCGACGGCGGUUGAUUCUACGGCUCACAGAGCGGCCGCGGCGAGAAGAGCGGCGCGGGCGGGCCGCGUUUCGGUGGGGCGGUGUUUUCGAGGGCGGUCCGGGCUCGAUGCGGUGGAGACGGACACUCCCCGGUCACAAAACCAUAAAAUCCUGGGAUCAUGGGGUCGUCAAGGCUGGAAAAGGCCUUUGAGAUCAUCUAGUUUUACCGCCAGCGCAGCACUGCUGGUGUAACCCCUAAACCAGACAAACAGUUUCAAACAGAACUUGUCGCUCUGCAAUUUUGGACUGAGAUUUCGGGGCUUGAAGUUAUUAACCAAGUGAUGCCCAGGAUUGGACAACUUGGUGGGUCUGGAGCCUUAACCAUUGAACAGAUGCCCUAAGUACUAGAGUGGGCCAGGUGUGUUGUUUGUUUGGUUCUGCCAAAAAUACAGAUUUCUGAGGAAUACAGGAAAACAAGGUUUUUUUUUUUCCUUAUGUGCUGUUGUAAAGACACGCUACUUAAUAUUUGUAGGAAAUUAAUAGGAGAAGAAGUCAUUUCAUCCCACUGCCAUUUUCUCCAGGCAGCACUUACUUCAGAGCAAGUUGAUAUUUUUUUCCUGUUAGAUACAAAUUCACAGAAAAAAGCACACGGCACCUUUGCUUCUUCCUACUAGAAUCAAUAAUUACAGCAAACCAGCAUGAAGAUGGCAUCAUUCAGGUGUAUCUAUAUAAAUGCAAAGUUGGGUGACCCAGCAUGGCACGUGGCAGUGUCACUGCAGCUGAGACUGCAUGUACACAAGGCCAGCAGGUCUUUAGCAACACCUCCCUCCAGCUGCUGUGGAACAGUAGAAGAAGAAGAACAGUAGAAGGCCUUGGUGGUUUUACGAAAUAAACUAUAAAUAUUACUUCUGUGUAUCAGAGAGAUAUCAUUAUACUGGCAGAUGGCAUGGAUAGCCAUUUCUUAAACUACUGCACUGUUGAUGGUCAGGGACAUCAGUGGGCUGACUCGCACGGCCGUGUUUGUUUUCAUUGUAAGUAAAAGCAGAAAUACGCCUAAUAAGUUCACUGCAUCUGCUUGGCUGUUUCAUGCACACUGCCUGGCAGUAGCACAGCACUAAUUGCUGACAUUUGUGGGUCUGCAGGCAGUUGUCUUUUCAUUCUAUGGAUGAUUCAGAAACUGGUGCAGUGGGUUUUCUUUGAUACUUUCUUUGAUGAUCCCUUUCAAAGCCCUGUGCUUAUUAUGGUAGUUGAAAGGCAAAACUAUGACUAAGCAAAACUAUGACUAUAAAAGAAGAAGUAUCUUCUUUUAUAUUAUCUGCGAGUUUGCAUUUUUCAGUUGUUUUUUGUGCCUGGACGUGAUGGCAGACAAUGGGUGCAAGAAGUGCUGUACAGAUUGAGGCUCUGACUGCAACUGGAGCCAGCCCAUUCAGGGUCAGAUGCACCCACACACGCUGGCUAUCACACAGUGCCCCUUUUCAUCUUCUCUAAUGAAAGCAAAGUCACUACCACGAGCUACAGAGAUCUCCUAGGGCAGACAAAUUUCUAUUUUUGUGUCAGAGAUCAGCAUGUUAAUUUUGUUUCCUUUUCCAGUGUCAUGUCACUCGAUUGAGGGAGGUGAUCCUCUCUCUCUACUUGCCUGUUGUGGAACUCCAUCUGGAGUAGUGCAUCUGGCCCAGGGGUCCCCAAUGGAUGAAGGAUGUGUGCCUGCCAGGUGAAAACUGAAGGAGGGUAAAGCGAGCUCUGGGAUGUAUUAGUUGACCCACCAAUGUGCUAUGGCUGCAAGAAAAGCAAAUGUAACUCCAAGGUGUAUCAAAUAGGAUCUUUUCAGUGGUUCACAUGGAGAGUUUCAUUGACCCUUGAGUAUAAUGUAAUUUCAGUAUGAAAUACAGUUCUGGCCUCUUCAGUACAGUAAAGAUGAAUCCAACUGAAACUGAGACCCUUGUGUAAACAGGAUAAUUAAGGGGAGCGAAGCAUAAGCAUCCUUUCAAUUGUGGGUGAUUAAAAGAAACUCUUGUUUAACUAAGCAAAACAAAGCUUGAGAGGGGUUCUUGUUUGCAUCUGUAAGCAAAAUGGAAGAGUAAAAAUGGGAAAAAAUAUAACUACUAUUUAUGUGAAAGAACAUUACUGGUAAAAGAACAUUUGGUAUAAAGUGGCUGUAAAUAAAUGUAGAUUGGAAAUUAAAAGGUUUUGUUCUCAACAGUACAGCUUGUGAAAAGCCGGGAAAGCUUCUCCACAGGAAUCAGGAGGGAUCAAAAACCGAAAUCAGUUCUUAGAUGAGUGUGAUUCGUUUGUGAAAGGGAUUUUACAAUACAAGUUCCCUAUAAUAGAAAGGGACUGGUUCCUGUGCCCUUGCAUUAAUUCUCUGCUAUUGAGGUUCUUCAUUUUGCACCUCAAGCAUCUGGGACUAGCCACUGUCAGAGACAGACUAAUGAACUAAAAGUACCACAACUGCACCAAAAUAGCAUUAACUAGUGCUGUUACUUAAAAUAUUUUAACGCAGUAAUUGUAUAGAGUUCAGAGGGAUUAACAGCUGUCAGGGGUGAUGAAUGCCCCAAACUGUUCUUAAUUCUAAAUGGAAAAAGCUAAAAACCUCCCAGUAUGGAAAAGAAUGACAGUCACCAGUGCAUGAAUGCUUUUCCACAUUGAAUGGAAGAAGAGGGCUGUAACAACUUUCACAUGAAUAUGCAAAAGAAAAGGUGCAUUUCUAGUAAUUUCAGCGCUGUUAUGCCAGGGAUGACAGUGCUCCAGUGAUUUUAAAGUGAAGGCAGCACCCAAAACACCGAAGGAAUAAAACAAAAAGAUACCAUUGUUUUCAUUAUCUACAUCAGACAAUAAUUGUAAGUGCUCAAAAUAUUCUCCGAUUCUUUUCAUGGGGAUGCAUAGGUGAAGUCCUUCCUCUGUUUUUCCUUUUAGAGGACAAAUCAGCGAUGAGUAUGAGAUUUCUUCCUUUAUACUUGUUUAGACAAGCCAACAGCUAUAGACUGCUUGUAAGGAAGAAAGGAUCGCUGCGGAACGAAGCCAAAAUGAUGCUACCCGUAGGUGGCAGCAGUAGCUGCUGCUGUUGCUGCCUGUCAGUGCCGCUCCAAUUCAGCCUUGGGAGCCAGACGAGGUUUAAACCAAUUGACCUGAUCCUCUGAGUCGCUAAAGAGCUAUUCCAGAGAUCUUAAAAUGGGGUCAUGCACUGAACUCCUUGCAGAAUCCACCAGAAGAGUGCAUCUUCCUGGAAGCUGGUUCAAUUGCCAGAGAUAACCCUGCUGUGAUUUCUUGAAGGAAGGAGGAAUCCUGCAGUGGGAUUGCCAGAGAGGACUUUCUGUGCUGCAUUUUAAUUGAUCCUCAGAGAUCUGGUUCAUACUGGCAGAAGAUUUGGAAAAAAUAUAUAAUUUCCAGGCAAGUGAAAAAGAAAGGAGUAGAUUGGAAUUUGGGGCUCAUCUCUACUGGUGCAACCUUUCCUCCCUAGGGAUUAUUGUGCGUUGGCUUUUUAACUUUCUGGAAAUGCAUCUAUUAUUUAGUUUUCCCCAGUAUCUCAGGCAGGGCAGUGCAAAUAUACAAGACAAAGUCAGCAGCCUAUGUGUGCUUUUUAAGAAGGACAUGAUAUCUGUAAAGAGAAUUAGGAUCAGGAGCUGUGUGAUGGUGUGUGCAAGGAUGCAGGAGCAAUCUGGGUGUGUUGCCAGCAGUUUUAAAGUUUUACCACUGUCAUAUGAGGACGGUAAUACUGUAGUGGCCUCUGGUAUAGCAGGCAUUGUGUGCAGUGCAGAAAGUGUGGGUUUGAGGGAAGAUUUUAAGGAUGAGGCAGAGAAGAGGCUUUGUGGAGUAGCCCAGAGGUGUCUUCCAGGUGUAGAUGUGCAAAAGAAAGAUUACAAGCAUUAGCAGUAGGUAAAAAUGUGUGUAGAGGGUACAGACAUGAACUUAAAUUGGUGAAAGGAGGACAGAAGAGAUGAUCAUAAAGGUUUGAAAAACAGGCUGAGAAUAUAUGACAGAGCCAGAGCUGGGAGAGCAAUGGGGAAAGACACUAAAGGGGGCUGGAGGAACCUGAAUAUGGGCCAGAGGACUGAUGGCAGCAGUGACAUUUUGUACUGGGCUGAGGGUCUGAAAUGGAUGUCAGGCACAAUUUGGGUUGUCAUGUAAAGAAAGGAAGAGGCAGAUGUAGAGAAAGUAAAUGGAGGUGAAAAGUGGAUGGCCAUUACUUGCUGUUCAUUUUCUUGUGGGACAGUUAAGCAGUGAAUCAAUUUUGAUACCAAGCAAUUGUGUAGAUUAUAAGUUAAGCAAUGAGGAAGUUAUACAGCAAAUCAUUCCUGAUAUUAAAUAAAAAUGGGGAGAAUCAACAGCAAUAGGAAUCAAUUAUUCAGAGAACUAUUACCAAAGUCCGUUGGUUAAGUAGAGAAACAUUUAUACCAUAAGAGAAUGAAUAAAUUAAUUAUCAAGUGGGACCAUAAUGCUGAGAAUUAAUUAUGCAGAAUCUUUCUUUGUGAUAAGAGGCAUGUCUGAAGUAGCUUCAUGCACAGAAAAAAAAUACAAAACAAAACCGUAAAAACAGGUGCAAAACUAAUGAAGACACAAGUCCUGCACCAGUUGUCAGACCCUUUGUGACAUCCUCUCAUCCUUCUCUUUGGGCUAGACUAACCUGUGUUGCAGUAGGUACUGAAGCAAUUGCAGAAGCAGGGCAGAGAGAGCCUGUUUCUUCACCAAGCCUUCCUUCACUGGGAAAGUGGACAUAAGAUAAAAGAAGUUCAGAGAUGACUUUGUGGCUCUGACAGGUGGGAUGUAGAAGGAGUUCAUGGUCUCUGAAGUCAUCUAAGCAGCACAGAGAGGCUCAGGGUUCUUCAUGGCCCCUGGAUUACUCAGUCAGACUGUGUACUUUCUACCAAAGAGACUGAAAGCUGGAUUCUCCUCUGCCCUGCAUUGAUUUCCAGCUCUGAAAAAUAGGUGUCAACCAUUAGCAGAGAAAUGUUUUCAUUUUGUCAGUUGUCUCUACAGUUACAGCUGGAUUAAAAACAACCCACCUUUUGGAAACUACACUCCCUGCUAACAUCAAGUGUAAGGAUUCUGCUUCAAGAGACAUCUAUCUUACUUUAAACAGAUAAAAAUGCAAGGUAGACCCCAAGGUGGUGGAAAACAAAUUUCCAAGUCUUCAUUCCUGUGGUAUCAAUGAAACAUACUGAUUUAUACAGGGGACACAAUAUGCUGUAUAAUCUUUUCUUUAAAAAGAAAAAAAAUAAAGAAAAAAAAAGAGAAAAGCUGAAUAAGCUAAACCCCCAAAACCCUGCAAGAGAGAAAGGAAUCUGUAACAUCUUUGAGAGAACAACAUGUCUUACCAGUUAAACACUUAAACCCUUUACCUAGACAACACUUCCAUCUAAUCCUGUGAUAGAUUGGCUUGACUUCUGGAUCCAACUGAGAAGAAAUGCUGAACUAAAUUCUUCCAACUAUUAUCUGUUCCAAGUCUAGUUGGAUUCCUAAGAUGCCUGGCAAAAAGCUACUCUCUUUGCUCCCAUUCCCCUGGCUCACCAAGGUUAAGUUUUCUAUUUCUCACUACAGCUCAGAAGAGCAAUAGUGAAGCAGUCAGUCUGUCUGUCUGUCUGUAGAUAACCAAAUCUGUAGCCUCCCCUUUGGCCAACACUGCAGUACAGAAUAUUGUUUAAAACAUGUUCUUUCACACAAACAAGUCAAGAUAUAGGUUCAAUUGAAGCAUUUAUUAUUUUUUCCAACAAGGUUUAAUGCUAUAUUUUUUUGUUAGAGAGAUUAAGUUAUAUGGUAUGUUCUAAUGGUAAUAAUAAAAACAUGGUAAUAGCUGUUCAUAUGUUUUAGCAAAAAUAUUGUGAAACUAGUAACAGAAACUUCUUAAUACA